CUAAUUCGUCGCCCCCGCGAAGGCGGGGGCCGUUGGCAAUCUUGCUCAAGGCCGACAGCGGCCCCCGCCUUCGCGGGGGCGACGCCGAAU
rnacentral:miRNA from 1 species